AGAGUUUGAUCCUGGCUCAGGAUGAACGCUAAGGCUUAACACUUGCAAGUCGAGGGGCAGCACGAUGUAGCAAUACAUUGGUGGCGACCGGCGCACGGGUGCGUAACACGUAUGCAACCUACCCAUAAGCGGGGAAUAACCCGGAGAAAUCCGGACUAAUACCGCAUAGUACGUUUGAGUGGCAUCACUUAAACUUUAAAGAUUUAUCACUUAUGGAUGGGCAUGCGCAUGAUUAGAUAGUAGGCGGGGUAACGGCCCACCUAGUCAACGAUCAUUAGGGGUUCUGAGAGGAAGGUCCCCCACAUUGGUACUGAGACACGGACCAAACUCCUACGGGAGGCAGCAGUGAGGAGUAUUGGUCAAUGGGCGAGAGCCUGAACCAGCCAAGUCGCGUGAAGGAAGAAGGAUCUAUGGUUCGUAAACUUCUUUUUUAGGGGAAUAAAGUGCGGUACGUGUACCGUUUUGUAUGUACCCUACGAAUAAGGAUCGGCUAACUCCGUGCCAGCAGCCGCGGUAAUACGGAGGAUCCGAGCGUUAUCCGGAUUUAUUGGGUUUAAAGGGUGCGUAGGCGGGUUUUUAAGUCAGUGGUGAAAGUUUGCAGCUCAACUGUAAAAUUGCCAUUGAAACUGAAGACCUUGAGUGUAAAUGAGGUAGGCGGAAUGUGUUGUGUAGCGGUGAAAUGCUUAGAUAUGACACAGAACACCGAUUGCGAAGGCAGCUUACUAAGAUACAACUGACGCUGAGGCACGAAAGCGUGGGGAUCGAACAGGAUUAGAUACCCUGGUAGUCCACGCAGUAAACGAUGAUUACUAGCUGUUUGCGAUAUACAGUAAGUGGCUAAGCGAAAGCGAUAAGUAAUCCACCUGGGGAGUACGUUCGCAAGAAUGAAACUCAAAGGAAUUGACGGGGGCCCGCACAAGCGGAGGAACAUGUGGUUUAAUUCGAUGAUACGCGAGGA
rnacentral:rRNA from 1 species